rfam:Felis catus isolate Cinnamon breed Abyssinian chromosome A1, whole genome shotgun sequence.
GCCUGGCUGGCUCAGUGGGUAGAGCAUCUGACUUUUGAUCUGAGGGUCAUGAGUUCAAACAUCACGAUGGGCA